rnacentral:rRNA from 1 species
AGUGAACGCUGGCGGCAGGCCUAACACAUGCAAGUCGAACGAGUGGCGGACGGGUGAGUAAUGUCUGGGCAACUGCCUGAUGGAGGGGGAUAACUACUGGAAACGGUAGCUAAUACCGCAUACCAUCGGAUGUGCCCAGAUGGGAUUAGCUACGAGGUGGGUGAAAGGCUCACCUAGGAGACGAUCCCUAGCUGGGCUGAGAGGAUGACCGGCCACACUGGAACUGCGACACGGGCCAGACUCCUACGGGAGGCAGCAGUUGGGAAUAUUGCGCAAUGGGCGCAAGCCUGAUGCAUCCAUGCCGCGUGUAUGAAGAAGGCCUUCGGGUUGUAAAGUACUUUCAGCGGGGAGGCGUUACCCGCAGAAGAAGCACCGGCUAACUCCGUGCCAGCAGCCGCGGUAAUAC